GUCUACGGCCAUACCACCCUGAACGUGCCCUAUCUCGUCUGAUCUCGGAAGCUAAGCAGGGUCGGGCGUGGUUAGUACUUGGAUGGGAAACAGCCUGGGAAUACUGGGUGCUGUAGGCU
rnacentral:rRNA from 1 species